AUGAGCCCUGGGGGCGUGCGCAGCUUCGCGCUGGAGCUGGCGCUGGGCCCGGGCUGCGCCUACUGCAGCGGGGAGCGACUAUGCGGCCGGGUGCUGCUGGAGGUGGCGGCGCCGCUUCGGGUGUGAGCCCUCCAGGUGAAGGCGCGCGGCGGAGCGGUCACCUACUGGCUGGAGGGUCGCAGCGUGGGCGUCAACGCCGAGUCCAGCUACUACGCGGCUGCCUAGACCUACCUGUGGCGGCGGCAGCUGCUGCUCCGAGACACGGGGGAGACCACGACCCUGCUUCCUGGGUGCCAUGAGUUCCUGUUCAGCUUCCAGCUGCCCCCGACCCUGGUGACAUCCUUCGAGGACGGUAGUGUCCGUUACUGUAUCAAGGCUACCCUGCACCGGCCCUGGAUCCCAGCAAGCAGUGCAAGGAAGGUGUUCACUGUCAUCGAGCCUGUCGACAUCAACACGCCCGCCCUACUGGCACCUCAAGCGGGGGCUCAGGAAAAUGUCGCCCGAUCCUGGUACCGUAACUGUGGCCUCGUCUCCCUUUCAGCCAAGAUCGACUGCAAGGGCUACACGCCAGGAGAGGUCAUCCCCGUCUUUGCCGAGAUCGACAACAGCUCCACGCGUCCUGUGCUGCCUCGGGCAGCGGUGGUGCAGACGAAGACGUUCAUGGCCCUAGGCGCCGGAAAGCAGAAACAGGCAGUGGUGGCCAGCCUCCCGGGCGAGCCGGUGGGUCCGGGACAGCGGGCGCUGCGGCAGGGCCGGGCGCUGCGGAUACCCCCGGUGGGUCCUCCAUCCUGCACUGCCGCGUUCUCCACGUGGACUACGCACUCGAGGUGUGCGUGGACAUCCCGGGCACAUCCAAGCUACUGCUGGAGCUGUCACUGGUGAUCAGCACCAUCCCCUUGCACCCUUUCGGCAGCCGUUCCUCCAGCGUGGGCAGCCACGCCAGCUUCCUGCGGGACGGGGGGCUGGGCGCCUUGCCGGAGUGGCCAGAGGCUCCUCCUGAAUACUCAGAGGUGGUAGCGGACACCGAGGCGGCAGCCUUGGGGCAGAGCCCCUUCCCAUUCCCGCAGGACCCUGACAUGAGCCUGGAAGGCCCGUUCUUCGCCUACUUCCAAGAGUUCCUCUACCGCCCGCCACCCCUGUACUCCGAGGAGGAUCCAAAUCCACCCCUCGUAGGCCAUGAGGCCGCGCUGCACGACUUGCUGAACAGCACAGGGACAUCUCGAGGAACGACGCUGCACACUUGCUUUCAGCCACCGUGACUGUGGGGAGUGGCUGGACCAAGGACUGAUCUCCCCAGCUACAUCGAAGUUGGGGAAACCAAGCCUCAGAGUGAGGCGGGGCCUUUCCGACAUCACAGGGACAGAGGAAGAGCCAGGCUGGAAUCUGACUUACCUGGACCGCUGCCCUUGCGAGGCUUUGAAUACCAAGGGUGGCAUCCAAGACACUGUUUAAUAACCUGUCUUCCCAGCCUGUUGGCAGCACUGGAGUCCUCCAGGAACCUUCAGUCUGGAAGACGCAGAGCCAUAGACAGUUCCAGCAUCAUGGAACCAGAAGAGACCCGCGGCUGGGAAAGUCCAGACAGGAAGCAGAGAAGUCUUCCUUCCGGAAGGGGGAUUUUUAACUGAGGCUUUGGAGUAUGAAUAGGAGCUCAGCAGGCAGAGGAGUGAGGAAGAAAAGUCGGAGGUCAGAGCUGAGUGACGUUUGGAAUCUACCCCAUUUAUUGUAAAACUGGGGGUUGAGAGGGCAAGUGCCUCCAAGUUGAGGCCACACGGUGAGGUCCAGUGGGUGAAAGGACCCAGUAACGAGGCGUUCAGGAAAGAAAGCAGGUUGUCAGAGCUCUGUGGAGUUUGCGGGUGGCAGGGGCAGCUGCUCCAGCCUUUGAAGACUUUGAAAGCCAGAGAUCCCUGGCGCAGGCUUGGAUUUCCUGGGAGUUCUUCCAAGUACUCGGGGGCAUCAGAGCUGCCUGAGUCUUACAUGGCCCCAGGGAACCUGGGUUCAGCGUAGGACAGGCAAGACCAGACACCUAACAUGCAAAAUGAAAACACUGGGCUUACGGUUGAACAAUGAAGGAUUCGAGACAGGGGAAGCAUCACACCAUGCCUGGGGACAGAGGUCAGCCUACGGGGACACAUGGGGACUGCUGUGCUUCCGGAAGCUCUGUGUCCUGGAGAAAAGCACUGAAAAGGGCAGCUGGACAAGCCCCCAGCUGCAGAGUCACUGCCCUGCAGGGGCAGGGCCCGGCCUGGGACUCAGCAUUUCUGAUAUACCUGAAGAAAUCAUUGUUUUGUACAAUUAUUUUUUAAAAGUAAAUGUGUGGAGAAA